GACGAACGCUGGCGGCGUGCCUAAUACAUGCAAGUCGAACGGAGUGGCGCACGGGUGAGUAAUGUAUAGCUAAUCUGCCCUACACUAGAGGACAACAGUUGGAAACGACUGCUAAUACUCUAUAGUGUAGGAUGAGGCUAUAUUGUAUCAGCUAGUUGGUGAGGUAAUGGCGCACCAAGGCUAUGACGCAUAACUGGUCUGAGAGGAUGAUCUGUCUCGCUGGAACUGAGGCACUGUCCAGACUCCUACGGGAGGCAGCAGUAGGGAAUAUUGCUCAAGGGGGGAGACCCUGAAGCAGCAACGCCGCGUGGAGGAUGGCACUUUUCGGAGCGUAAAGUCCUUUUGUUAGGGAAGCGGUACCUAACGAAUAAGCACCGGCUAACUCCGUGCCAGCAGCCGCGGUAAUUC
rnacentral:rRNA from 1 species